UACGUAGGGACCAAGCGUUGUUCGGAUUACUGGGCGUAAAGGGCGCGUAGGCGGCUUAACAAGUCACUUGUGAAAUCUCCGGGCUUAACUCGGAACGGCCAAGUGAAACUGUCAAGCUAGAGUGCAGAAGGGGCAAUCGGAAUUCUUGGUGUAGCGGUGAAAGUGACGUAGAUAUCAAGAGGAACACCUGAGGUGAAGACGGGUUGCUGGGUUGACACUGACGCUGGUAGACGCGAAAGCGUGGGGAGCAAACAGG
rnacentral:rRNA from 1 species